ACCACUUCUUCCUUCCGGAUUCGCCGAUAAAAAAGAGUAGUUUCUACACUCUUCUGAGUUACUCAACUCCCCUAAAGAAGCACUCAUUUCAUGUCCUUCAUUGAAAAGAUUAUGAAAAUAACCUCUCCAUCUGUCUUUAACCGCAUUCUCUGUAGCAAGAACCUUUCCAUCCUCAUCCUUGAUGCACCUCACUUGGUUUAGGUCCCUUGUCUUCUUUUCCCUUGCUCUAGAUAGUUUAUAGAUAUCCAACUCUCCUUCUUUGGUACCUAGUCGUUUAUACAUAUCGUCGUAAGCCGCUAACUUAGCUUCUCUGACAGCUUUCUUCGCCUCUUGCUUCGCUUUUCUAUACCUUUCACCAUUUUCAUCGGUCCUCUCCUUGUAUAAGGCUUUACAACAUUCCUUCUUAGCCUUCACCUUUGUUUGUACCUCCUCAUUCCACCACCAAGAUUCCUUUUUGGUGUGGGGCAAAGCCCUUGGACUCUCCUAAUACCUCUUUUGCUACUUUUCGGAUACAACUAGCCAUGGAAUCCCACAUUUGGCUAGCUUCCCCCUCUCUAUCCCACACACAUUGGGUGAUUACCUUCUCUUUGAAAAUGGCUUGUUUUCUUCUUUUUUAGAUUCCACCAUCUAGUCCUUGGGCACUUCCAAGUCUUGUUCUUUUGUCUUACUCUUUUGAUAUGUACAUCCAUCACCAACAAGCGAUGUUGAUUAGCCACGCUCUCUCCUGGUAUAACUUUGCAAUCCUUACAAGUUAUACGAUCCCCUUUCCUCAUUAGAAGAAAAUCUAUUUGUGUUUUUGACGACCCACUCUUGUAGGUGAUCACAUGUUCUUCUCUCUUCUUAAAGAAGGUGUUGGCUAAGAAGAGAUCAUAUGCCAUUGCAAAAUCCAAGAUAGCUUCCCCAUCCUCGUUUCUCUCCCCAAAACCAUGGCCACCAUGAAAACCUCCAUAGUUGCCUGUCUCCCUGCCCACGUGUCCAUUUAAAUCUCCUCCUAUAAAUAACUUCUCCGUCUGAGCAAUUCCUUGCACCAAGUCUCCAAGAUCUUCCCAAAAUUUCUCCUUCGAACUCGUAUCCAACCCUACUUGAGGUGCGUACGCACUAAUCACAUUGAUAACUUCUUGUCCUAUUACAAUCUUGAUUGCCAUGAUUCUAUCUCCUACCCUCUUGACAUCUACAACAUCUUGUACCAAGGUCUUGUCCACGAUGAUGCCAACACCGUUUCUCGUUCUAUUUUCUUUUCAGAAAAAAAAAAAGGUUUCAUUAUUCUCAUUAUCUGUUGAAAUACCACACUGUUUGUUUUCUUGAAUCUGGUUUCUCCUUUGUGUGAUUUACUUUAGUAUAAAGAAUCUGAAUAAUGGAGUUUGCAUUCUGCAGUGGCGGGAUCGUUUGGUUGGUGCGUUGAGAAAGAUGCAAGCUGGAGGGUUGGUAGAGCUAGCCACCCAGCAAGAAUGCAAGAUUAAUGGAAGUGUGGAAGACGGGCUAGAUGAUUCUCUAGUUACUAAGGUAUCCUUCCUAUUUUAUAUUACAUUGGAUCUGUAGAGAUACAAAAAGUGGAUGCUCUUGCAAAAGUACACAUUGGGCCAUUGGCAUACAUGUAUCUUGAAGCGUCUUGAACAUGAGCUUAAUGUUUUGCAGGAAGAGAAGCCAACUAUUACAAUAACUAAUGCUGUGCAAAGUAGUUUUGGGAAGAAACGGUUAGGAGCACUUGAUGGUAGUGAUCUUGCAGUGGAUCAAGAUGUAUCAGGAAAGCGUGCCAAAUCGACAUCUAGUUUCUCUGGGGAUUCGGCUAAGAGGUAGGAAGGAAUGUUUCUGCGUCUCUAGAUGAUGUUUCUUCAAGUGGAACUACCACUUCUAGAGGAGACGGUGAUAAUGGACCUGUGCAGCAACUUGUUGCUAUGUUUGGUGCAUUGGUUGCUCAAGGUGAAAAAGCUGUUGGUUCUUUGGAAAUUCUUAUCUCAAGUAUCUCUGCUGACUUGCUAGCAGAGGUAGUGAUGGCUAAUAUGUGCAACCUUCCACCCAAUCUUCUUGGAGAUGAAGGAGAUGAAUCUCUGAUGAACAUGCAUAUAGUCGGCGGUGAUUCUCGAGUUAAAUAUCCACCAUCAUUUAUUGCUGAUGUUCUUUCACUUACAAGUACUUUCCCUCCUAUAGCUGCACUCCUAGAUGCUCAUCAGUCAGUGUCCAGUGAUAUAGUGGUACAGUUUUCUAUUCUCAUUUUGGUUUUCACCCCCUUUUUCCCCUUAUUUUUCUUGAAUUGCAAUGUUUAUGGUAAUUGCAGAAAUCCGAACAGGAGGAAGAACAGGUACCAGAUGUAGUUGAUAGCGGUGUUGCAUCUACUGGCAUGGAUUAUGUUUUUGGAGAUGAAACUGCCAUCUUACCUAUGCGUUUACCAGCUUCAUCUGAAAUGGAGCAUGGUUGCCCAUCACUUCCAUCUGAUCAUGAUAUGGAAUAUCUUGAGAGUGAAAUACCUGGACUGGAUUCUGCUUGUAAUAGUGGAUCAGAACCCAUCAUUGCAUCCUCAUCAACCUUAAUGGAUGUAGAAGAUGCAAGCCAAGAGCAAGUUACCAGUGUUAAGGUAGAAAAUGCAUGCCAAGAGCAAGUUACCAGUAUGGGUCAAAGGACUCCACUUAAUCUACUUCCAUCACUAUCAACUGAUAAGUCUGAGGAGCUUAGUCCACGAGCAGCUGUUGCAGAUGUCAGUGUGCUUUCUUCGACAGCAACUUCAGUUGGGUUGUCCCAUCAUCUUGUCCUGCCCAAGAUGUCGGCACCGGUUGUUAUCCUUUCUGAUGAAGAGAAGGAUUGGUUGCAGCAGUUGGCUUUUACUCGCAUCAUCGAGGCAUACAAGCAAAUAGCCGUUGCAGGAGGUUCCCAAAUACGAUGUUCUCUCCUUAUAAGUUUAGGAGUUGAGGUAGUAAUUCAAGCUUCUUAUAUGUGGCUAAUUGUAAUUUGCGCCGGCUGUAAUUGUUGUUCCUUGUUUCAAUCCUAGUUAUUGUUUUUUCAGAUAUUUAUUUAUUUUAUUCUUAAGCCCCUUUUAGUUUUUCUUUCUUUGUUUUUGGUGUUACGGGUAGCGGCUGAAUCUAGGCAUUCUUAGUGGAGGCUAACUGUAUGAUGUCAUUUUCUUAAUUUCGAUGAAAACUUUCUCAGUGCUGUGGUUUCUUACAGAACCAAAAUUUGAUUUAUCUUUGUAGUUCCCUUUGGAGUUAGACCCAUGGAAACUGCUGCAGAAGCAUAUCUUGGCAGAUUAUACGAAUAAUGAGGUAUGUGAACGGGUUUUGGUGAUUUUAGGAUAUAGUUGUAUUUUUUUCUCUAUCAUGUUAAUUUGAUACAUACAAGAAUGCACUUUUGGUUUAUUACAAUUGAAAACUCAGUUUGAGUCUUUUGGACACAAUGGGUGGUGAAAAGGAUGAUCUGUUUUAUGGAAGUUUGAAAUUUUUUGAUUGUUUGAGGAGUGGAGUUAAUAAUUCCCUUUGAAUAGAUGUAUGCUACUCAGGUAUGUAUUGGAAUUUAGAUGGCUUCCAUUUCAGUUACGUGUUUCGAUUGUAGAAAUUUUAAGAACUAUAUAUACCUGGUAACAUUACCAGAUGUUAGUGCAAAGUGUCUCACGUUCUUGGAAUAAUACCAUCUGUAAUAAAUUACCGUAUUUUAUGGAUACUGGGAUGAAAUUCAUUUCUGUUGCAGAUACUCAUCCAAAUAUUUUUAAUAGAUAUUAAAUUAGUAAUAGAUAUUAGUUGUUAAAGAAAAAGGAUGGUAGUUGUUUAACUAUGUGUUCUUGUGAUUCUCUGGCAUAUAUAAUAACUGACAGUGACUCUGGAAUCUCUUCAGGGACACGAGUUGACAUUGCGUGUCCUAUACAGGUUAUUUGGAGAGGCAGAAGAGGAACGCGAUUUCUUUUCUUCGACAACUGCUACUUCUGUAUAUGAAAUGUUCCUUUCAACUGCGGUGUGCUUUUAUCUCUAUAUUAUUAACCAUCUUUUUUCUUUACAAAUGUCGAAGAACAUUUUAUAAUAUCUUUCAUUUCAUUGCAGGUGGAUACACUUAGAGAUUCUUUUCCACCAUCGGACAAGUCAUUAAGCAGAUUGCUUGGUGAGGUUCCUUAUUUACCAGAUUCAGUUUUGAAAUUCUUGGAGUGCAUGUGCUCACCUGGAAACUGCGACAAAACCGAGAAGGAAACACAAGGUGGGGAUCGAGUGACUCAAGGUCUUAGCAUUGUCUGGAGCCUGAUUUUGCUAAGGCCUCCUCUCCGAGAUCCAUGCUUAAAAAUUGCUUUACAGGUUCUUUCCUUUAUCCCUACGUUACUCCCAUUUCUGAAAUUCCUCUAUACCAUUCGGUGUUAAAGAAUUUUUCUUUUUCCUUUAUUUCAUCUGACUGUGUUCUAUUUUUCCUCUGGAAGAGUGCAGUCCAUCAUCUGGAGGAAGUGCGCAUGAAGGCUAUACGUCUGGUACUUAUUCACAACUUGCUAUUAGCUCAACAAAUUAACUGUAUGGUUCUAACUUUGUUUGCAUUAUGGGUUGCUUUGUCUAACAGGUUGCAAACAAGCUUUAUCCUCUGUCAUUUAUUGCCCAACGAAUAGAAGAUUUCGCUAUUGAAAAGUUGCUUUCUCUAAAAAGUUGUGAUGCAACUGAAAAGAUAGAUGCUGAAGGAUCGAAAUAUGAAUUACAGAAGGUUCUAAUCUUUGCAUUGUCGAUGUGGGGUUUCUAUCAAAUAUAUUUUGUAUUGUUGUUAUGAAUCAGAGAGUUAACAUUUAAAUGGUUUUCCCUCAGGAUUCUGAUUCAGAAAAACAUUCCAAUGAACCUCCAUCAGUGAGUGGUAACAGUAAAGAUAUCUCCUCUGAUAAUCAUCAGUCAUUCAGUUCUCAAAAUGUGUCGUCCCUCUCAAUUGCUGAGGCCCAGCGGUGUUUGUCAUUGUAUUUUGCUCUUUGUACAAAGGUGUUACUUUAUCUUAUUAUCAAACGCUGAGUUGCUUUUAAUGUCCAUUAAUUAAUUAUUAAAAUAUUCAAUAUUAUUUUUAUUGAAGUUAACAUGAUUGGUAAAACCUCAAUUGGCAGAAGCAUUCCCUUUUUCGCCAAAUAUUUGUUGUUUACGGAAGCGCAUCAAAGGCCAUCAAGCAGGUUUAGUUCUUUUUAAUUGUAUAUUGAUGUAGAAAUUAGCAUAGGGCUUGCUACUCCUUCCCCAUGAGGAUGUUUUUCUUCUCAUCAGUUAUAUGGGGCAGUGCAGGCGGUUCAACGCCAAAUUCCAAUACUUGUACGAACUAUGGGAUCAUCACCAAAUCUUCUUGAAAUUAUUUCUGAUCCUCCAACUGGAAGCGAGAAUCUCCUGAUGCAGGUUUGUAAUAACAACAUUACAGUUUUGUCAGUACCAUCCAAUAACAAAUAACAUCUCUUCUGUUUAAUGGAAUCAGGUUUUACAUACCCUGACGGAUGGAACAGUUCCCUCUCAAGAACUGAUUUUUACUGUUAGAAAGCUAUAUGAUUCAAAACUGAAGGUACGUUUAUCAUUUCUGUAUGACAGUUGAAAUUAAAUGACACUGUUAGCUUAUAUAUGGUUUAUUUUUUCUUUGGAAAAUUAGCUUAUAUAUUGUUGUUUAUGAAUGAUUACAGGAUAUAGAGAUUCUUAUUCCAAUAUUACCCUUUCUGCCUAAAGAUGAGGUUCCAUCCCUUUCACUGUCUUUUCAUAAUAGCACUACCAUGUGAUGUGUGUGUUUAUGUUUCUUGUUACAUGCCUUUCUUGUUAUAAUAUUUGAGAGUGGCUGAGGGUACUACACUAUUCCAUCAACUACAUUUUGUGCUCUUUUGAAAUAGCGUAAACUGUUUUUCUUCUUGGGUUAAUAUUGAUAGGAAAGAUAAAUGAUGGACUGGAAGAGACGAACAAGGUUUCUGUGUAUGAUAGAAAUAAUGCUGAAGCUACAAGAAAGCGAUUACAAAUUUAUUCAUGAAUCUUAACUCUUGUCAAUGAAUAUCAGUUAAAUUAAAGGAAUAUACUAUAAAAUGCUUUAGCGUUGAUGCCCAUAAAGGUGCCAAUAACAUGCUUCUCUCCUGUAGAAUUUAACUUACUCAUCAUCGAAGGUUAUGUUAUUUCUCUCUAUCCACAAUCCAAAUAACUGCCACAAUAGUAGAUCUUAGUACUUUAAACGCAAUUUGCUAUCUUGUACUUGGUAUAUUAUGGAUGAACCUUUCCAGCUCUUGUUACUUGCAUUUGAUUCUUUAGACUUAGAAUGUUUCAUACUGAUUUUAAGUCAGUUGGCUCUUUAUUAUUUUGGUGUUAAUGAUCUAAUAAGCUUUCUUUUUUAAGGUUUUGCUUAUAUUUCCCCAACUUAUGAAUCUUCAACUGGAUAAGUUCCAAGCAGCACUAGCUCGCAUACUACAGGUAUCUAUGUUUCCUUGUUAGUUCUUGGCAAUUUAUGAAUUCUAAGUGUAAGACUGUUCUGUUUCAUAUGGGUCAUUAGUUAUUACAGACAAUAUGAGAAGAUAAUGCCAUAAUCUUUCAAUGAUCCUUGUCAUUUUCUGAUACAAUUGUGACCUCAAAUCUUUUAUACUAUUGCUUCCCAUGCCCCACUUUGUGAUAAAUUAUUUGUAAGACCCUAUUAUCAGUUAUAAUUCCAUUCGUGAAUGUGCAUGCUAUCAGAUAUUUCAAAGCUCCUUUGUUACAAAUUUUAUGCAUCAUUCUUUGACGUGUUCCAGACCCUGCGUAAAGCGGGAGCCUUGUGCACUGGGUACGACCUUUUUUUUUAUUCUUUGACGUGUUCCACAGAACCGAGCGCAAUGACGUUUUAGGAUUCAUAUAGCCGACCCCACUUAGUGGGAAAAGGCUUUGUUGUUGUAUUCUUUGAUGUGUUCAUGAUGGUUUCUUUCUUUUCAUUUAUUCGCACAUGUUUCUCUACAGACAAGAGACUUGCUCACCCAAUCUAGAGACAUACAUUUUUAAUCCUUCAGAUGUUUUCACAUGUAAAUUUUGCUAUUAAUAUGCUUGCGAAAUACUUCUAUUAUUCGUUGCUUGAUCUUUAAUCAACCUUGCACAGGGAUCAUCCCAGUCUGGUCCUCUUCUGGCUCCAGCUGAAAUCUUGAUUGCUAUCCACGGAAUUGAUCCCGACAGAGAUGGAAUUCCACUAAAGAAGGCAUGUCAUCUUUUUUUUUUCUUGGUUGGAAAUCUCUCUGAGUGGCAAUAAUGAAUGGUUGAAUAAUAUUUUUUUUGGUGAGCAGGUCACAGAUGCAUGCAAUGCCUGCUUUGAGCAGAGGCAGAUAUUCACCCAACAAGUUCUUGCCAAAGUUUUGAAUCAGUUGGUUUGUACCAUUAGAUAUUUCCUUAUCUUUCUUUUUCACCGCUUUCAAGCAGAACUUAAAGAUGAUCAAGCUUCCUACUUGCAGGUUGAGCAGAUUCCUCUUCCUUUACUGUUUAUGCGUACUGUAUUACAAGCCAUAGGUGCCUUUCCUGCACUGGUAAGAUCUGAAUAAAUCGUUAUAAACUUAAACUGAUGUAGGACAAGAAGGAAAAUACAUGCAUUUAGUACUUUCUUUGGACUAUGAUUACUGAUGUUUGUUUAACAUGUGAGAUGCAUGCUGUAAAUUGUUGAGAAUUGAGGAAAAAUAGGAAAAUUCAAGGAACAGCAUGGAAAUAUUACAAUAAAUGGAUAGAAAUUACCGGCAUCACACUAGUGCGAUUCUUGGUAGGAAUCACUCCUUUACACAAGGAGCGCCUAGGCAAGUUGGACCACAACAAUCCUACGGCAAAUCGUAUGCUGCUGAGAAAUUCAAUCAUAUUCAUCUCCCCCUCGUUAAAUGUAAUUGGUCUGACUGAUAUGUUGUCAUCAUAACUUAUAGACAGAAAAAGUUAUCUAUUAAUUAAAUAAACUACGAGUUCGAGUAGUGCAGCUGAUUUUGCUUUUAGGGAUAAUAAACUGCUUUUUGGGGAAUAAGAAACUAUAACAUCUGUUACUGACUUGGCAAGUUUUUGUCAAUAAAUAACAUAGGUGGAUUUUAUAAUGGAGAUCCUGUCUCGGCUUGUGAGCAAGCAGGUAAGUUUUCAGUUUCUUAAUUUUGUUUCUAUUCAUUUAUUACGUGUGGCGUGUUUAUGUGACUGAUGGCAUGUUGUAGAUAUGGAAAUACCCGAAGUUGUGGGUGGGAUUCUUAAAGUGUACGUUCUUGACAAAACCUCAGUCAUUUGCCGUGCUGCUUCAGGUGUGUCUUUGCUUUCAACAGUGUUGCUUCUUUAUCCUUGCAAUCUUUUAUCACUACUUUUUGCACUAGAAGCCCGAUUUUGUGAUUCUCUUUGGCGAUCUUCUAAAUGGAUAAUAAACAGCACGCUCAUUGGACUAUUUUGCUCACUAGAGGGAAGAAAAUCUGAAGUUAAUAUACAAUGAAAUUGUUUAUCCUAAAUAAUCUAUUUGGACUUUGAAACAAGUGUUCUUCACAUCUGUAUGAGCUGAUGGUAUAUAAUUUAUUGUCUCAGCUACCUCCAGCACAGCUAGAAAACGCACUGAAGAGAACUGCAGCUCUGAAAGGACCGUUGGUUGCUCAUGCUAGUCAACCAGACAUCCGAUCUUCCCUUCCAAGGUGAAUGAAAAUUCCUUUUGUCUCAUUUGACAUUAAAGAUCUCUAGAAUGGGGAGGGUCAGCUCUGAUGUUUGGAUUUUUUUUUUCAGGUCGAUAUUGGUAGUUUUGGGAAUUGUUUCCGAUUCUCCGGCACAAACAAGUCAGUCUCAAGCCGCGGCACAGACAAGUCAGUCUCAAGCUGCGGCACAGACAAGUCAGUCUCACGCCGCAGCACAGACAAGUCAGUCUCAGGCUGUGGCACAGGCAAGUCAGUUUCAGGCCGAGGAACAUACAAGUCAGUCUCAGGCUGCGGCACAGACAAGUCAGUUUCAGGCCGAGGCACAUACAAGUCAGUCUCAGGCCGAGGCACAGACAAGUCAGUCUCAAGCCGAGGCACAAACAAGUCAGUCUCAGACCGAGGCACAGUCAAGUCAGUCCCAGGCUGGGGAGGCAAGCAACUCGGAAAAGGAAGCAGUCACAGAGAAACCAAAGGAGUCAUCUAGUGCUAGUUGAACUUCAGAUGGGGGAUACCGCAAUAGUUCCGAACUCAUAGCCAUGUAAAACAGAUUUACCGCUUUCUUAGAAUAGUUACAGUAAGAGAGAUGCAUAAUAGGCAACAUUCAAUUGUGUACCAAAGUUCUUUCGCUCAUAAAUGCGUUUCCUACAAGUCCAAGUGCUUAUUCAUAAAGCGGUUCCGUGACCUUGAAGCCCUUUUCAAGUUUAACUGUUGACUCUAGUGAUAGUUAGAAAGCACUUCUAUGAACCUUGAAGCACUUGUUAAGUUACACUCUGAAACAUAUUUUAAAGCAGUCCAAAACCGGCCCUAAGUUUAUGUUGCAGUAUUAUCUUAAAAGCCUCGUUAAAACAAAACUAUCAAAUCAAGAGAUUACAUGCUAACAUUACACUGUCGAUGAACCAAACUAUUUUCAUAAGACGGCCGUCGUAAUAUAUUCCGAGGUCAAAUUUGUUGGCCUUGGAAGCAGUAUGACGAAACGGAUUUGGCCGGAACCUGCAGAAUUUUCAUUUACAUGUCUGAAGAUAGACAUUCUAUCUCAAACCACUUCAUCCCAGCUUCCGUUGCUCGAGCGCGAACAAUUGCAGGCACACUUCAUGUCUCAUAAGCACACACUAGAGUCUCAUCCAAAUCAAGAACCACCUCCAUUACAAAAUCCAUUAGUAAUCAAAACCCGUCACCCGGAAAAAAACUAGCAUAUUCAUGUCAUUUGAACCAAGUGUUGUCAAAUUUGUCCGCCAAGCAUAAACUUCAACCUUAACAACUCGCAAAAUUAUACCAUACAAUCCUAAAAGUUCCAACCUUUAUGUUUAAUUAACAAAAUCCAAUCACUUAAAUUCUAGCAGUAAAUCCAAAGGAAAAAAAAUUAACACCACCAAGGGGAUGCUUGUUUGGAAGUGCUUUUAAAAUGACGGAAAACGUUUUUAGUAAAAUUGAUUUUGGAUUAUCCACUUGGAUUUUUACUAGAAUUGGUUCCGUAAUUUUAAAAUUACUUCCAAACUCUAUUUCGCUUUAAAUAAAAAUUUCAUUUUUUUGCAAAUAACCCAGAUUUUUUAUAUUUUUUUUAUAAAGCAAAGCGAAUAAUCCAGAUUGUGAUUUCGCAUAAUUAACUACAUCCGAGCAUAUUUCAGUUGAAUAAUUACUCCAGAAAGAAAAAGGCCAAAAAAAUCAACUUCCAACAGUAAAAACUAACAACUGUGAUAAUAAAUCUAGGAGAUGGAGACUGAAGAAGCGCACCGUGAGCUUUUCGACUGGGCGACCAUCCACGACGCCGUUUUCGACGUGGGCGGAGGACGACAAGUCGUUGAGAGGGACUUCGGCGACUGGCAGAGGCCUGAAAGCAGGAGAAGAAGAGGAAGAAAUGCAGGACAGCAGGUGAGGAAGGCAAGGCGCGCCUCUCAGGAUCUGAAGAAUAAUCUGGUAGAAGAAGCCCACCCAGUUCACGAGACCCCGCCAUGCUUGAAGGGUCAUCGGCACGUACACUUCGGCGGCGGCGGCCUGGCCCAUCGGCGUCAUAGCAGCAUCCCAACUCCGACCGGUGACUGAAUGCGAUUCUAGCUUAAAGAGGCAAUGAUGAUGGACCUUUUCCUUUUACCUCGACAAACUAUGGCUGCUUCGUAUAUUUCAUUUUUUAUUAAGUUUUGACCAGUUUUAUUAGUUUUUCUUUUCCAAUUUUUUGGGAGAGAGACGAAAUGACAUUGGGUGAAAUGGCGAAUAUUCUUACCAACUAAUCUAUAAGCCAUUUAUAAAUUAUUAUUAUUUAAGUAGAAUGCAGCUCUACGCAAGUAAAUUAUUCUUCGGCCAACGAGUCCUCGAAGAAACCAAGCAUCUUUUACUUUAGUGGGUCGUGACUCUGAUUUUUCAGAAUUUAAGAGUCUUUCUUCGUAAUCUUUAAGGUGGAGUUUGUUUGCCCUCGUUAAGUGAGACUGGACUAACUAUUAGUCUAGUCCUGUUUUUGUUGUUGCACGGGACUAAUGUUAAUGAGACUAGUUGGGAUUAACCUAGACUAAGGAUGUUGCUAGAGGUUCUUAGCGAGAGUCCCCAAAAACCAUAGGACUAGCUAAGAGCCCUCUCUGCUCUCUGUUUCACGAGACGUCAACCACAUCGUUCCCGCUCUCCCUCUUACACCACCAAACAACCACCACCCUCUCCCCCCUCGCCUUGAACCCACAAUCACGAGACCUCAAAUUUGCCCAUCCCCGAGAUGCUUUAUCGCCGAGCUCAUUGCCGAGAGGCAACACUUCUCUACUUAGUUCCUCGGCUUCAUCGACUCCCAAUCUUGGUCUCCUAAAACCAUUUUCAAACACAGAUCUAACGGACAUGCAACGCUUCGCCAUACAGCUUUUGUAUUCGAUCUCUCCUCUUUUGAUUCGUUGUAGGUAUUUUGGUCAUUCACUCAUAACUCCACCAAACUGCUCCUGGAGAAGAAUCAGUCACCACCAUGUUUCUCCUGGACUGCUUCUACGGGUUGUGGCAGAGUAAGGCCAAGAUUAUAUUUCUGGGUUUGGAUGGCAAUUGGGAUGAUCUGGGGACUGGGUUGCCUUGGACGGAGAAAAAGAUGGGGAGGGAGAGAAUAGCAAAAUGGGGAAUUGUUAUGAAAAAAAAAAAGGAGUAUACUGAUAAUAUAAAUUAAAUAAUAUAAUAUUAAUAUAUAGAGUAAAUAAUAUAGCAUGAAGAUUUGUAAAUUAUUAUGUAUUUUAGUCCGACACUGCACCAAACGCUUCACUAAGUCAGUCCAGCUUAGUCCCUGAAGCUAAUCCAGUCCGAGAUAGUCCAGUGCAACAAACGCACCCUAAGUGUUUUUUUCUUUUCAUUUUGUAUUGUAAUCUAAAAGCAUUAAAUCUCGUUGUUGUUAUGAUCUCGCUUUCAACAAAUAGGUUCUCAUGGUACUUUGAAUGUUUUGUUUUAAUACAACUUACUAUUUAGAUGUUGAAAGUAAUUAAACAUGCUACUUUGAAUGUUUUGUUUUAAUACACCUUCUAGUCUUCUACUUUGUAAUAUGUUUUGAAUGGAAAUAACCACUUAAAAAAACAAAUCAUUGGUUUUUUUUUAUAACUAUUGUCUACGAUGGUUAUAUGUACUUAAUACAAUUAUUAUAUAACAAUUAGAUAUAAUUAAUAAAAAUAUGUAUUUAAUAAUAAUUUUCUUACUACAAUUACCAUAUAACUGUUGAAAUAAUAAUUGUAUUAAAUACAUGUAAGUAUUGUAGCCCGGUUGCUAACACAGAGUUAGCCGAUGCUCAUUCCCCAGAUAUCGUCAUUACUUCUUCUUCGGGAAAAGAAGUUCACGACCCGUAGGCUUUCUACCUCCACGCAGCAUUGCUCCAUCAGGCUUUCGCCCAUUGCGAAAAAUUCCCCAUCGCUGCCUCCCGUAGAAGUCUGGGUUGGGGGUUAUAGUCGAUGUUGAUUUCAUCAUUUUUAACUUUUCUAAUUCAAAAUUGAACAUAAAACUUUGGUUUCAUUCGGAUCCUUUAUGGAAGAUGUAUAAAUUCCUAUACUUAGACAUGAAUGAAAAAAAAAAUCCACCAAUAACAUCUAUUGUCAACUUUUUUGUCUAUAUGUAUUCGGAACAACUCGUUUUCUAAACGAUUCCUAUAAAAAAGAGGGGGAUUAUUGUAGACAUCGAAAUUUCGUAAAUAAAUGUUGACCGGUAAAUCAAAGUGUCAAUGCUCAUGUAUUACAUAAAUUUUACACGUAGCGUGUGAUUUAACGAAAAUUGAAAUGAGUUGGAAAAGUCAUCAAAUAGGACACGUGUCAACACCUGGCAAAAACGACUUAUUUCAUCUGGAAUAUUAUAUUCAAAAUUAGGCCUUGGAAAUUUCUAUAAAUACAAGCCUAUUUCAUUCAUUAAAGGAACCAAUUCAUAUUACACCUUGAAGCUUUGAAGCUCUGAAACUCCGAAGCUCUCAAGCAUCCAGGUUCCCGAAGAAUCAAGAAAGCUCUCUUCGUUCUUCGUUCAUCGUUCAUCCAAGAUCAAGCCCCAACGGCCCUUUGGAUCAACAAUCAUCCACCAAUUCAAGAUCAAGCCCCGACGGCCCUUGAAGAAAGCACCAUCGUUCAUCAUCCGUUCAUCCAAGAUCAAGCCCCAACGGCCCUUUGGAUCAACAACGUCGACAAAUCCACACACAUCCAACCGUUCUUCAAGAUUAAGCCCAAAAGCCCUUGAAGAUCUGUUCAUCACUGUUUCUUCAAGAUCAAGCCCAAAAGCCCUUGAAGAUCCGCUCAUCACCGUUAUUCAAGAUCAAGCCUCAAACGGCCCUUGAAGAAACAUUCAUCCUCAAAAUCAAGCCCCAACGGCUCCUUGAAGAUCCGCUCAAAUCCACCUUCAAAGAUCAAGCCCACGGCCUUUUGAAGAAACUUCCAAACAGUUCAUCCAAGAUCAAGCCCCGACGGCCCUUGGAUCAACGAAACAUCCAUAAAUCAACACCUUACGGAGAUCGAAUCAGAGGAUCAAAUUUGAGAGAGAUUGUAACCCAAAAUCAUCAAAAUACAAAUAUUUAUUUUGUGCACGUUGUUCUUGUCUCUUUCGUUUCAGGAAUUUCCGUGUUCACAAAUUGGCACGCCCGGUGGGACAAUCUCUGCCUCUCAUCUCUUUCUCCGUUCAAGAAAUUCAAGCGCACUUCCAAAAUUAAUGGCAUCAAGGAAGGCUCAAACUGCUCCCGCAACUGGUGUCACUUUGGGCAUCACGACUCGAAGCAUGGCAAGAGCUACUUCUGCCGCCUCUUUCACCUCUGCAUCAACUCUGCCAAGGGAACAAAAACACCCAAGGCACGAGCCUUUGAUCACCUUAGCCUCACUAAGGGCACCAAGGGGGGAAAGCCCAAGGAAAUACUCUGAAUCCAUGCUCUCCGAUGCCGAUUCAAGCGACAGUUUAGCCAUGCAAGUCAUGACCAUUGGAGCAACUUCAAUCGAUGAGCAGCUAGCUCAAAUGAAUGAAGCAAUCGCAAGGCUAACCCGAACUGUGGAAGAAAAAGACUUGCAGAUUGCAGCACUAGUCAACCGACUGGAGGUGCAGGACGGCGAUAAACCCGACCCAGAGGAUGAUCCACUAAAGAGAGGAGAUGGUGGAGACGAAGAACCCCCGGUGAAGAAAAUCGAUGGGAAGCCGGAGCCAGACCAAGUAGCGGCACUCAUGGGAUCUCUUUUCUAUCCAGCAGCUGCAAGAGAUGAUCACCAACACCAUCAAGGCACAGUACGAAGGGAGCUCACAUACCUCCUUGUUCUACUCGAAGCCCUAUUCCAAGAAGAUUGAGGCCCUAAGGAUGCCAAGGGGUUAUCAACCACCAAAGUUCAUGCAGUUUGAUGGAAAAGGAAACCCAAAGCAGCACGUUGCACAUUUCGUCGAAACUUGCAACAACGCGGGGACGGAGGGAGACUACCUCGCCAAGCAGUUUGUGCGCUCGCUGAAAGGAAAUGCCUUUGAGUGGUACACGGACCUAGAGCCCGAGUCCAUCAACAGCUGGGAGCAAUUAGAGCGGGAAUUCCUCAACCGCUUCUAUAGCACCCGCCGCACUGUGAGCAUGCUAGAGCUAACGAGCACAAAGCAGUGGAAGGACGAGCCAGUCAUUGACUACAUCAACAGAUGGCGCACUCUAAGCCUCGACUGUAAAGACAUGCUCUCGGAAACCUCUUCAAUCGAGAUGUGCAUCCAAGGCAUGCAAUGGGGUUUGCAAUACAUCCUUCAAGGCAUUAAACCAAGGACCUUCGAGGAAUUGGCCACUCGCGCCCAUGACAUGGAGUUAAGCAUCGCCCAUCAGGGGAAGAAAGAACCGAUCGCCGACUACAAGAACGACAAAGUUCUUGGGCCAAAGUUAGAGAAGACUGCGUGGAAAUCCACCAAGGAAGCAAUGAUGGUCAACACAGCUCUCGUCAAAAUCCCUAUACGAGGCAAGGCGAUUCAAACAGAAGCUUUUCGUGAUCAAAAGACGUGUAGACGCACUUUGAAGGAGCUUGAGGAAAAGACUUAUCCAUUCCCCAACUCUGAUGUGGUUGCCAUGUUGGAUGACCUGUUGGACAAAAAGGUGAUCGGUUUGCCUGACUGCCGACGGCCGGAAGAGAUGAAUCGUACCAACAGUCCAAGAUACUGUAAAUUCCACCGCUUCAUCAGUAAUCCUACAGAAAAAUGCUUCGUGCUGAAAGAUCUCAUCAUGAAGCUGGCUCAAAAAGGAAUCAUCGAGCUAGAUCUUGACGAUGUGGUGAAGUCAAACUAUACCACCAUCACUUUUGGCUCUUCCAACUCAAAGUUUUUACCUCAACCUCCGGGGGCAUCCUCCAAGACAAACAAAGUUGAAGGAUGGACUCAAGUCACUCUUAAGAAAUUGCACAAGAAGCAUACGUCUCCUCCACAAGUCCGCCAAUCGGAAAGGGGGCAAAGCAGCUCUUGUCAACCUUCAAAACAACGUGAACGUGUUGAAGAUGAUGAAACUUCGACACGAAGAUCGUCCGUCCCCAUCAUGAUGCGCGACUUCUUGCCCGAAGACUUCUUCAAUCACGCGGUCAAAACUCCUUGCUAUGAAAAUUGUGAGGAACGCCUCUCCCGGAUUGCUUGACAAAAUUCACAAAUUCUCCUCGCCCGCAUGAGUCUAAACUGCAUGGCACAAAGCUCCUGGUCUGCACGAGCAUAAAAGGCAACACCAAAGCUCCUGGUCUGCACGAGCAUAAAAGGCAACACCAAUUCUCCUCGCCCGCACGAGUCUAAACUGCAUGGCACAAAGCUCCUGGUCUGCACGAGCAUAAAAGGCAACACCAAUGCUCCUUGUUCGCACGAGCCUAAACUGCACGAACCAAAGCUCCUUGUUCGCACGAGCCUAAAACUGCACGAACCAAAGCUCCUCGCCUGCAUGAGCCUAAACUGCAUGGCAUAAAGCUCCUCGCCUGCAUGAGCCUAAAUUGCAUGGCACAACGCUCCUAAUCCGCACAAGCAUAAAAGGCGACACCAACGCUUCUUGCCUGCACGAGCUGAAACUGCAACACGGCACCAAAUGCUCCUUGUCUGCACGAGUUAAAACUGCAAACAGCACCAAAAGAAAAUACAAAAAAAAAAAAAAAAAAAAAGUAUUUGAACUACGUUACAACUUGAUCUCUUCUUUGGAGGGGUAUGUAGGCAGCUCGAAUGUUCAAUUUUUCGAGUUCAAUCACAUCAAAAUAAAAAGAAUAAAUGUUUUAUUAAAGAAGGUCAAUUUUAUUACAAAUUUAUUUUGUUAAGAAAAUUUGCAAUUCUCUUUGUACAAAAUAAAUUACAGUUUCUUCGAAAAAAAAAAAAUGAAUACAUAUGUUAUUAUGUAUUUAAAAAAAAAAAAAAAAAAAAAGGAAACAUAUAUAUAUACGUCUCGGCCCAACACCAAGCUCCAGCAUCAACAAUGCUAUUGGGCCAACAAUGGUCCAGACAAGCCUAGUUGCCCAUCCUCACACUCUUCACGCCAAAGUCAUCAUCCAUGGCUGCCUCACUCCACCAAACCCCACGUACUGCAUAUGGUGCGUACACCCGGGGCAAGUCCACAUACCUGUCGCUACAACCCCCGCGUCUACCAGGUCAGCUUCCUCCUCGUCUCGUUUAAUCUUCCGCAUCGAACACAUGCGUGCACCCAUCAAACCACUGGCAGCCCUCGUCGUCAUGCUCCUCCACUUCGACCGCGCCCCUGCCAUCGUGCGCCGCCGCAACUCAAUUCCAGCAACCGCUGAACCCGUGUCUUUCUUCCACCCGUGCCUCAUAGCUACCUGGACCUGCAGGCACACCAGAUCCGGAUGCAGAAGUGGUGUCUCUGUCCUCCAAGACCCUACUCGAAUCGGACCGGUAUGUGUGCGAGAUCUGCGACCAGGGAUUUCAGAGAGAAACAAAAUCUCAGAAGAACAUAACUCAUUGCCAAUCGAGAGAUGGAGGGUGUGAUGUCAGUCAGUGACCAGCAGACUCUGGUCUCUUCGUUGUUUGGAGAUCACCGUCGGCCAGACCGCCGAUACGGCGCGGCAGUUUCUGCAGGCCACUGGGUGUAAGCUUGAGGAAGAAAUUCAACUCUUUUAUGUGGGUAAUGAAGCUGGGAUAAUGACCAAGGCGGCGCCGUUACCGACUGAAAGUAUUGAUCAGUUGGCCGAACAAGCUUCUGGUGUGAAUGAAAAUGUGGCACUUCCUGGUGUGAAUGAGAAUAUGGAACAAUUCGCUGAUGAUGAGGUGCGCGCUCCUAUGCCUGUUAUAAGGGACGUUCUUUUUGACGAUAUGUCGCUCUAUGGAGCACCUAGGGCUAGAUUUUCACAACAGGGUUCUGUAAUUGCCUUCCGUAACUUUGAGGAGGAAAUGAAGCAUCCUGGGGUAUGGGAAUCGGACCAAGGUGAUACAUCCUCAGCAAAUGUUGUUCAAGAUAAUCUUGCAUCCUUAUAUCGUCCUCCCGUCCAGCUCGACGAGAUCACCGAAAAAGAAUUGAAGCCUCUGAUUCCAAGAAGCCUCUGCUCAUGGCUAUCAAGGGUCAGAUCUAUGACAUGUCCCAGAGCAGGACGUUUUAUGGACCUGGUGGGCCUUACGCACUGUUCGCGGGGAAAGAUGCUAGCAUAGCUCUUGCAAAAAUGUCGUUUGAAGACAAAGAUCUGACUGGUGAUAUCUCUGGUCUUGGUCAAUUCGAACUCGAGGCCUUGCAGGACGGGGAAUACAAGUUCAUGAGCAAGUAUAGCAAGGUCAGAUCUAUUAAGAGCACCGCUCCUGCAACUGAAGGAGAAUCCACUAGAAGGUACCGUGGAGACGUCGGCUCCGAUCUCCAGCUCGAGAGGAAUAUCAUGAUUGAUCAGGUCUCGGAAUUUCGAGCUCAUCAGACACCACCUUCUUGGCGAGUUCUCACCAGUAAAGAGCUACGCCACCAGGUCUAGUUCAUCAGCAUCAUCCGCACGAGGAAGCAUAAUCUCAACACGGCAGAGAAGUGGGUGAAUUGCAUCGCCCAAGCUCCUCCCUGCAUGUGAAACACCCAAUCUGUCUCUUCCACCGCUGCUACAUUGCAUUUGAUGAAGAGGAUGAAGAAUGGCGACGCAGAGACGAAACGCUAGGCAGUACUUCUCGCCUUUCAAACACAAAUAUGGCAAGUCGUGCCCUCGUCUACUUCAAGGCCGAGACUUCCUGCAUGCACCACGAACUCCACUCCUUCGUCUUCUUCCACCAUGGCUGCUGCCCAAGUUCUCCAGCUCCUCAUCCUCUCCUCCUUGCUCCGCCAUGGCUGCUGCCUAAAGCUCUCCUCCAAGCUCCUAUCCCGCACCCUAUAUAUAUAUAUAUAUAUAUAUGUAUGUAUGUACGUAUGUAUGUAUGUGUGCAUGAAAAGAAAAAAAUUAUAAUAUAAAAAAAGGAAAAGAGGAGACAUGGUGCACCGGCACCGAAAGCGAAAAAAAAAUAAUUAAAAAAAAAAUGAUGAUGGUGUCAGCCACUACCCUAAAAAUAUAUAUAUAAUGGAGGGUGCACGACAGAAAUAAAAGAAAUAUAUAUAUAUAUAUAAUAAUAAAUAAUAAAUAUUAAUAUAAAGUGUUUUGGGGUGGUGGAUCAACACCAUUCUGAAACGAAGAAAAAAAUAUAGGGUGGGAUCUGGGUGCAUCAGGCACCAUCCAAAAGAGAUAAUAAAAAAAAUUAAAAAAAUUAAAAAAAAAUUAAAAAAAAUUAAAAAAAGAUCAGCCAUCAUUUGUUAAGGAAUAAGUGUAAGCCCCACCAAAAGCAAGCAAAAAAAAAAAAAAAAAAAACCUGAAAGAAAUCAAACUCGUUUAUUAAUUUAUCUGAAAAUUUACAGAAAUGUACAUUUUACAUCAGUCAAAAAAAAAAAAAAAAAAAAAAGAGCAAACAGGAGGGAGCCUUCACGAAGGUUGCUCGUGUGAAGCCUCACCACUCGGCGAAGCUCCAGGAAGAAGAGGCCUCGGAGGUUGACUGUUUAGAGCCUCAGUACUAGGCAGAACCCCAGGAGGAGGAAGCACCGAAGGUUGAUCAUUUGGAGCUUCAUUACGCGGUACAGCCUCAGAAGACGAAGGCAAAUGCUGCUGGAACAAACCCACAAACCUCCGAUGAUCAAGUAAAAUCUGACCAUCAGAUUCCUGCAUCUGGUCAAUCUUCCUCCUGUUUGAGACUCAUCACUUCAGCCGCCAAUGAUUCAACUUGGCGGGUUCGAGCAAAUAGGCGUUGGGCCAUAUUAGACACAGAACUUGCACACUGCACACUGAGAGCCAGAGAAUCCUUAACAGCCAACUCAUCAGACCGUUUGGAGAGUAGUCUGUUAUCUUUGGGAGUGACAAGGUUCUGGGCCACCACCGCAGCGGUCAUGUCAUUCUUCAUCAUCGAAUCCCCAACGGUAAGAAGACCAGUAGGGGAUAUGAAGGAUGGGCGCCAUAUGUUGUCUGGAGAAGGCGGGACUGCCUCUUCACCAAGAUUCAAGUCAAAACGACGGUUGGAGGGUCCAGACAUUUUCAAAGUGUUGAAGAAAGAAGAGGUCGGACGAACCAAGAUCUUAGAAGUGCAAGAAGGGAGUUUCUACAAGCAAAAAAAUUCAAGUGUGCUUUGAAACAAACUGCAUGCCUCUAUAAAAAUCAGCAUUCGACGGGAUUUCAGAGAUCGAAGAGGCGAGCUCAGAAUUCGAAUAGGCCAAUUCAAAAAAUUGAAGAGGCAAGCUCAGAAAUCGGAGAGGCAUCUUGCUUUUCCAGACGCGUCAGCACCCGUCACACACAAACUCAGCUUUGCUGAAAUCACGGGUAAUUUGUCGAAGCGCCGAUCCCAGAUAUCGAAGAGACGCCAGUCUUUUCGAGACACGUCAGCACCCAUCACACGCAAACUCGGCUUUGCAGAAAUCACGGGUAAUUUGUCGAAGCGCCGAUCCCAGUUAUCGAAGAGGCGCCAGUCUUUUUCAGCCGCGUCAACACCUGUCACAUGCACACUCAGCUUGGCGGAAAUUAUGGACAAUUUGUCGAAGAUUUCUGAUGAAGAAGAAAAGCGCGUGAAGCCAUACUGAUCAACCACUCAAUGGUUGCCGACACGAGUAAAAAAAAAAUAGUACCUCUACAGGUAUUAAAUAACUUCUUAUAACUGUCCACCUUCACCCUCCAUAGCAAGGCAGACAUACAGAACAUUUCUUCAUCUCCGAAAACCUUUCUUCAUCUCCAAAAAAAUGUUUUCCCAACGAAACCUCUCGAGUCAUUCAGUGUUCCUUAUUCCUUGGGGUACCUCUGCAAGCCAAUGACUCCAAAGCAAAAGUAUCUCAUAUCACCAGGGUAGAAAGCAAGAGUAUCUCAUAUCAUGCGUUCUCCCUGUCAUUUCCUUUGUCUUUGUUCUUACCUACAAAGACAAGGAUAAAGAAAACAAUAUGCCGGAACCUCCACUCAAACUCGGGUAAGGAAACCGACUGCUUGGAAACCCUUCCCUGAUUGCCUACCUAGCACUGCUCUCGAGUACUCGUCUUCCACUGUUGCUGUACUUCCAAAGAAGCUGUCACAUUUGCCUGAAGAACAGAUAAGGCAAGUGAAAAUGAUACCUUGCAGCAUGUGGAGACAACGGUGCAGAAGAAACAAGCAGAGAAGAAUGCAGGUCUGCACAGUCAACUCAGCAGAAGGAGUCCGAGCUGAGGAACUCGAGAAGCUGCCACAUCUGCCUGAAGAAACAAGCAGAGAAGAAUGCAGCCUGCACAGUCAACUCAGCAGAAGGAGUCUGAGAUGAAGAACUCGAGAAGAUGCCACAUUCUGCCAGAAAGAAUAGAUAUGACAAGGGAAAAUGAUACAUUGAAGCAUGUGGAGACAAGCACAACAAAGCACGUGCCGAUUCAUCCGCUACUACUUCUUCAAAAUCAAAAGUAUCUCAUAUCAUCAGGUUUGCAAUCACUCUGGGUGGAGGACUCGUUUUGACCCUCAAAUUCUUGGGUCGACUUACUAGGCGUUGUGGGCUGCACGUGCCGAUUUCACCACCCUUGAAUCAAAUCCUUAAAGAUCAAGUCACCAACUGGAAGAAGAGCCCAUCAAUCUUGAAGAUCAUACCGUUGACCAAACUGCUCAGGUGUGAAUUAGAAAGAUUGAACAAAGCAACAAGUCGUCACCUUCACCUCGUGCCUGCUUUGCCAUGUGUUCGAGUCAACCUUCAAGAAUCAAGCCUCAACGGCCCUUGAAGAAGCUUCCAGCCAAAUUCAAGAUCAAGCCUCGACGGCCCUUGAAGAAAUCACAAGUCCGAUUCAAGAUCAAGUGUCUACCACCCUUGAAUCAAAAACCUAGUUCAAGAAUAAGCUGUGGAAAAUCAACAAUUGGAGGAAUCCAGAAAAUCCUUCCAACCCAGUUCAAGAUCAAAGCUGUGGAAAGUCAACAAGCGCAACAAAAUACGUGCCGAUUCACCCACUACCAAAGCCAAAGAUCAUCUACCACAUGAAGCUCCUUGUGGUCCAAUUUCAACCUUCAAGAUCAAGCCUCGACGGCCCUUGAAGAAAUUUCAAACAAAAAAAAAGUUCAAGAACAAGCCUCAACGGCCUUGAAGAAAUUUCAAGCCCAAUUCAAGAUCAAGCCUCAACGGCCCUUGAAGAAAUCUCCAGCCCAAUUCAAGAUCAAGCCUCGACGGCCCUUGGAUCGACAUCUACAGUAAGGGACUUCAAAACGCAUCUCCUACACGUGACAAGCACAUGUAUACGACGUGCCUUGAAGUGGGGGCAUUUGUAGACAUCGAAAUUUCGGUAAAUAAAUGUUGACCGAUAAAUCAAAAGUGUCAACGCUCAUGUAUUACAUAAAUUUUACACGUAGCGUGUGACUCAAACGAAAAUUGAAAUGAGUUGGAAAAGUCAUCAAAUAGGACACGUGUCAACACCUGGCAGAAACGACUUAUUUCAUCUGGAAUAUUAUAUUCAAAAUUAGGCCUUGGAAAAUUUCUAUAAAUACAAGCCAUUUCAUUCAUUUAAAGGAACCAAUUCAUAUUACACCUUGAAGCUUUGAAGCUCUGAAACUCCGAAGCUCUCAAGCAUCCAGGUUCCCGAAGAAUCAAGAAAGCUCUCUUCGUUCUUCGUUCAUCGUUCAUCCAAGAUCAAGCCCCAACGGCCCUUUGGGAUCAACAAUCAUCCACCAAUUCAAGAUCAAGCCCCGACGGCCCUUGAAGAAAGCACCAUCGUUCAUCAUCCGUUCAUCCAAGAUCAAGCCCCAACGGCCCUUUGGAUCAACAACGUCGACAAAUCCACACACAUCCAACCGUUCUUCAAGAUUAAGCCCAAAAGCCUUGAAGAUCUGUUCAUCACUGUUUCUUCAAGAUCAAGCCCAAAAGCCCUUGAAGAUCCGCUUCAUCACCGUUAUUCAAGAUCAAGCCUCAAACGGCCCUUAAAGAAACAUUCAUCCUCAAAAUCAAGCCCCAACGGCUCCUUGAAGAUCCGCUCAAAUCCACCUUCAAAGAUCAAGCCCACGGCCUUUUGAAGAAACUUCCAAACAGUUCAUCCAAGAUCAAGCCCCGACGGCCCUUGGAUCAACGAAACAUCCAUAAAUCAACACCUUACGGAGAUCGAAUCAGAGGAUCAAAUUUGAGAGAGAUUGUAACCCAAAAUCAUCAAAAUACAAAUAUUUAUUUUGUGCACGUUGUUCUUGUCUCUUUCGUUUCAGGAAUUUUCCGUGUUCACAAUUAUAUUAUAACAACCAUAUUAAAAAAUUUAUAAAAUGAUUUUUAGAUUUUUAUCCAAUCAAUCAACUCAAUUUCAUAUUACAAAAAAGAAAAAAGUAAGUAGGUGGGCCUUAUUUAAUAAAUAAAAAAGUCCAACAUAAUAAGGCGUACGCACGACGGCCCACAUCGGCCCAUUUCGUAUAAAAUGGUUGUUAGUGUAUGACUCGUCGCUCACGUCACACCACCACUCCCUUUUCGGAACUCCGGCCAGAACAGGAAGCCCCAGGUUUUGCAUCAAAACGCAGCGGUUUAAGAAGAAAUCCUCUCAGGCUUUUGUACCAGAGAGAACUGAACACACAGAGGGAGGAGAGAGAGAGAGAGAGAGAGAGAGAGAGAGAGAGAGAGGAGAGAAGCAUGGGGGUGGAUUACUACAAGGUUCUGCAGGUAGAACGAAGCGCCAAAGACGAUGACUUGAAGAAAGCUUAUCGGAAGCUCGCCAUGAAGUGGCACCCAGAUAAAAACCCUAACAACAAGAAGGCCGCUGAGGCGAAAUUCAAGCAAAUCUCGGAAGCCUACGAUGUACGUUAAUGUUAAUCUCUCUCGAUUUGAAUUCUAUUUUUGAAAAUUUCCAAAAUUCUCAAAUUUUUUGGCUGAGAUUUGUCGCAAUUUUUUUGUUCCGAUCGAAUUGGUUAGGUUUUGAGUGAUCCCCAAAAGAGAGCAGUAUACGAUCAGUACGGGGAGGAGGGGUUGAAAGGAGGGGUACCGCCGCCCGAUUCGUCAUGGUCUGGCGGGCAAGGGCACGAGGGCGGUCCGACGACGUUCCGGUUCAACACUCGGAGCCCUGACGAUAUUUUCUCUGAAAUUUUCGGGUUUUCGGGUUUUGGAGGGAUGCCGGACAUGGGCGGGUCAAGGGCAGGCGGGUCGAGGGCUGGCGGGAACCCGUUUCCGAGGAGUAUGUUUGGGGAAGACAUAUUUGCUCAGUUAAGAGGCGGAGCAGAGCCUUCUGCAGCUGCGCUGAGGAAAGCUGCACCGAUAGAGAGGACAUUGCCUUGUACUUUGGAGGAUUUGUUUAAGGGCACCACCAAAAAGAUGAAGAUUUCUAGGGAUGUUCCUGAUGCUAGUGGGUAAGAUUUUUUUAUCUCUGUGGGCAUUGUUUGAUUCUACAAAUCAUUUUCCUAUUUAUCUGUCUUAGCAAUGCUAUUGUCUGUUAGUUGUUAAUAUCCUUCGUAUGACUGUCGUUGCUGUUCAUAGUAAUGUGACUGCUAUCUGUUAGCUAUAUCUGACUUCUCACAUCUUUCAGGCAACAUUUUUUGGUUCAGGUAUUUAGAACUCUAGGUUAGAUCUCUGUUAGUUUGUGUUAUUCUUAAAUGUAAGUAUUGCAUCAUACUUUCUUUAUUGUCCUUGCUUGCGAAAGUAUGAUCCUUGCUUGCGAAUGAAUGAUCCUUGCUAGAAAAGUAUUGCAUCGUAUUUUGUUUACUACCCAGAGGCAGGAAAGAUGUGGAUAAAAGUAUUAAGGACGAUGUUAUGACUAGUGAUGUGGGUACUUGUUGGCUUGUGGGUCUUAUCUUGAUCUGGGGGUUGUCUAAGUUUCUAACUUCUAUUGUUGUCUCGUUUCCCCACAUGAUAGCUCUUCUCAUUGGAUUAAAAGUAUCAUUAUUUGAGCAGGAAAGCUCUUGUCGACAAAUUGCACAAAACAUCAGUAUGUAUCAGUGGUUGCGAGAGCUUGAUAUAUCACUCUAUGUGCAUCUUUUUUAUUGAUCUCAUUAACUAAAAUUAGUUAAUAGUGCUACCUAAAUGUGCUAAAUCUAGAUUAUGGUUCUUUCCGGUACUAACCUUAUAAGUUCCUUCGUGAAGCCUCGUCUUUCUAGACUUUAGCUGUCAACCUGACCAAGGUGUUUCUUGGUUUCCAAAUAUAGGAUAACUAGAAAAUCUGCAUACAUCUACUUAGGAAUUUGGCUAUAUGUAUAUACAUAGGAGCUUUGUGUAGAUGUUUCUUGUUGAGUAAUGGUUUACCUGAAAGUCAAUGCUCAUGAAGAUAUAAACUAAAGAUUAACUGACUGACUAAGCCGUAAUGCUUACUAUUUCUGUUUGAAGUUUUUAUGUUCUAAUCUCCACUAUAUCCUUCAUAAUCAUCUCAGACAACUUUACCUGUCACCUGUAACUCAUGUUUGAAAGCCACGACGUCAUAUUAUUUCCUUCUUUGGGAUUGCGAAACUUUUGGAAAGCAGUAUCGAAUAGUCUUGGGCAUUUUUUAAUUUGGAAUAGUCAACCUCAUAACACUUAUGAACAUAUAUUUCCUGAUAUUUAUGUAUUUGGUGUCUUUUAUUGUCUCACAAUCAAGACAGUCAACCAAAAAUGAUGCAGAGUACUACAUGAGACUUUCUAUAUUUGAAUAUCUGGCAGCAGAUAGGGAAUCCAAGAUGCCCAAAUAACUAUGAGAUAGUGUAUGCUCAUUCCUGCUUAUUAAUGAUGGAUUCUUUUGUCUGCUUAUAUAGUCAAGUUUUGCACUGUUGCCUAUAUCGUUUACUACGAUUAUGUAUUCUAUCUGUGUCUCCUAGCUAGGCAUACUAAAAUGUUUUGACCCUAGUGUAACAUAUCUACGUACCCUCUUUUGCGGGUGCAAAUGGCUUUAUGUUAAACUUCUUGAGACUUUCUGCUAGUAUGAUUGUCUAUGGUUGAGCCUGGGAGGUCCACACGUACAUAUGGUUUGUGGGCAGUGGUAAAUCGUAAAAUUUUAGCAUUGGGGUGGCAGAAAUGUCUGUUGGUUUAGUGGGAAUCGUAGUUUUGCUGAUUGGAAGGUGAAUAUUUGCUUAAUCUAAUACAUGUUGAUGUCGGAAAGAAACUCUUUGGGAGGUACUGUGGCUUUAGCUGCUUAGCAUGAUGAUCUUGUCCUUAGUAAUGUUAUUGUUUAUCUUCCAGAUGUCGAAUUGGCACCUUUUGGAUCAAUUUAAUUGACUAGAGGUAAAAGUAAUGAAAAACGAUAUACAUUAGCAAGUCUGUGUUGGAUCUAUAUGCUAUUUAUUCUUGUGUCCUUUUCUUUGUUUACAGGAGAACUACCACGGUGGAGGAAAUUCUAACAAUUGAGAUCAAGCCAGGGUGGAAAAAGGGCACGAAAAUCACUUUCCCAGAGAAAGGGAAUGAACAGAGAGGAAUCAUACCCGCAGACCUUGUAUUUAUCAUUGAUGAGAAGCCUCACACCCUUUUCAAGAGGGAUGGGAACGAUCUUACAAUCACUCAGAAGAUAUCUCUUGCAGAAGCUUUGACAGGUUACACGGCACAGUUGACAACCCUCGAUGGGAGAAAUCUUACAGUCCCCAUCACCAAUAUCAUCAGUCCCACCUAUGAAGAAGUGGUUAAAGGGGAGGGGAUGCCUAUUCCCAAGGAGCCAUCCAAAAGGGGAAACUUGAGAAUCAAGUUCAACAUCAAGUUCCCUACGAAGCUUACCUCGGACCAAAAAUCCAACAUCAAACGGUUAUUAACAUCUUAGUGAAGGCCAAGUUGCCAACGGUAGCUCUCUCGUCCGUCCCACCGAACUUGUGGAAGCUUUGCACUCGUUUGCUUUCUUAGCUCUUUUUAUCGGGUUUGGAAAUUCAUGCCUCGUCGAAUGAGGGUUUGAUGUUCGAUCACAACAUUUGAGUAUGAGGUUAUGUUGAUUUCCACAUUCCUCUUGUGUUUUGUUCAAUCUUGUUCUUUACUAUGUAGAAAUGCUGGAUGGACUUCAAUUUUCACACUUGAAAUUUGUAAUCUAUUUGUUGACGGCUUUAUGUAUUUCCCCGUAAUUUUCAGAGUGGAUUUUAAAGGUUGUCGGGAACUCUGUUGCGCGCUUGUACUGUGGAAUAUUGUAUACCCUCGCUAUGUCAAACCAAAUGUUUACCUCCAAUUUCAAUAAAAAUCUUGGUCCGGUAUUUUGAUCACUUGUCUAGGUCCAUCAUCGAAGAAUUUUGAUGUCUUAUCAUCAUUUACUUUCCAUUUAGACCUUUGCUUAAGUUUCCAGGGACACUUGUUAAUAUGAUUGAACAUGUCACAUGGUCAAACUGGUUGAUUUAAGACUCUCACCAAUUAUGUUAUCUCGUCACUAUUUUCGAUUUUUAGUACGUGGCGUGGUUGGAUCCCAAUUCUUUAGUGACAUGUGACUUACGUCUUAGGUGUUUAAAAGAUGUGCACCAUUUUGUCUCUGACAUUGUUCUCCAACGAUGCCUCCUGGGUGAAGGGGCCCAUCAUUAUUAUUUUUUUUCAGUCAAUCUGAUAAAAAAAAAUAGGUUGGUUCGUUUUGUCCUUAUAUCUACACAAUUCUCUAUCUUCAUUCGUGACCAUGUUGGGCAAAAAAAUCUGCAAACCAAUCUCUGGAUAUUGUGAAUAAAUGACUAAAAAAAAUUUCAUUGGGCAAUUUGGAUAGAAGUUUUCGCCUAAAUUCCCAAAUUAUUCCACAAUCCUAAUCACUUUUGUUAUGCACUUUCUGUCACGAUCCAAUAUCACCAAAAGGCAAAGGGCAAAUUGUAUUUCCAAAAUACUAAAUUACUUUUCCUCUCUCAUUCAAAAAACAAAAGUGAACCCUCGAGGAAGUUGUUCUGGCACCUUGUCUCGGAAGUCUUGCGAAAAUACCCUUUUGCCCCUCUGCUUUUGCAAAUUCCAUCCACCACUGUGACUGCUCUGUUUUCUUUCGUCUGAUCAAUAAUUGAGCUCACUGUAUAAAUAUGUAACCUCUUCAAGCUUUAGUCACAGCGCAGAGACUUCAGAUCAACAGAAAAUCCAACGGUUUUCAUUGAGCAGAGAGAAAACUGAGAGAGAGAGAGAGAGAGAGAGAGAGCGCAAUGUCCGUCGAUUACUACAAGCUUCUUCAAGUUUAACGAAACGCCAGAGACGACGACUUGAGGAAAGCCACCGAGGCCAACCUCAAUCUAAUCAACGAUGCCUACGAGGUAUGUGAUCAUUCGGAUUUCAGUUUUCUUUUUCCUAGUAAGUGAUAUUCUAGACUAUUCUAAUUUGUUGGCGGCGUAGAUGGUCUUUGUUGAUACCGUUUCUAAUAAAAACACUUAUGUUCAUAAACGCUUUUCAAUGUAAAGAUGGUCUCGUCUGAAACUAUUUAUGUAGAAAACAGCUUUAUUUGAAGUGCUUUUAUUAGAUUUUGGUAAAGCCCGUGUUAAAAAAUUUCAACCACUUGGAAGUGGGGUGCUUCUUCAUCAAUCAAAAGCGCUUUUAGUUGUAGUAUGCAGAAUGGGCAGGAACUGCUGCAAAUUACGAUUCUAGUUUAUUUUAACUAAAAUUUGCAAAUUGAAAUUUGUUGCUAAUUAUGGGUAAAUGGGCAGGUUUUGAGUGAUCCCAGAAAGCGAGCGGUGUACGAUCAGCAGGGCGAGGAGGGUUUGAGGAGAGGUGCAGCGCAGCCUCCUCAUUCACCUGGGUCUGGCGGCAUGAACGGCAGGUGCCCUGACCCAUUCACGCAGUUUUUCGGGCCAGGGACCGGCAGGUCUCGGGUUACGGAGUCUGUGAAACCGGAAGAGAUAUUCUCGACGUUUUACGGCGGAGGGACGAUAGGGGUAAAUGGAUUCAAGUCGUUUGCAUGCACGGACUCAGGACCUGGAAAUGGGCCGAGGAAAGCCGCGGCGAUUGAGAGGACAUUACCUUGUACUUUGGAGGAACUGUAUAAGGGCGCCACCAAGAAGCUGAAGAUUUCUAGGGAUAUUCUUGGUGCUAGUGGGUAAGUCCCUCCUUCCCUUUUUUCAUGAAUAUAUAUUUUUCGUUUAAUUUUGUGAUCUGGGAAGUACUUGUUUUGGUUGCAUGAUCUAAUAGAAAGGAACUUUGAAGUAAAUUUAAAUGUUCUUUUUUUUAUUUGGUGCAGAAGAAAAAGCACAGUGGAGGAAGUUCUAACAAUCGAGAUCAAGCCAGGGUGGAAAAAGGGCACGAAAAUCACUUUCCCAGAGAAAGGGCACGACACACGGCGAGGUGUUAUACCAGCAGACAUUGUCUUCAUCAUCGAUGAGAAUCCUCACGAUGUUUUCAAGAGGGACGGGGACGAUCUGAUUGUCACUCGGAAGAUUUCUCUCGCGGAGGCUCUGACGGGUCACACCGCGCAGCUGACAGCCCUAGACGGGAGAAAUUUGAGUGUCUCUAUUGAUUCCAUUAUCAGCCAGACCCAUGAAGAAGUGGUUAGAGGGGAGGGGAUGCCUAUCCCGAAGGAACAAUCCAAGAAGGGGAACUUGAUUGUCAAGUUUAGCCUCAAGUUCCCUAAGCUCACCUCGGAGCAGAAAACCGGCAUCAGAAUGUUGCUGACAUCUUUAUAAACGCCGGUUGUUGAGUCGUAGCAGUCCGUAUUAUCUUCCUAAAGUAGUUUAAGCUUUCCUAGGUGUUCUAAUUAAGUAGGUGUUUGGUGUGUUUGCUUGUGUAACAAGUAGAUUGCUGCUCUAUCAGCAAUGACAAAAAAUCCUUUCAUGUCUGUAUGUUUUCAGUGUGUUUAAUUUCUUCACAUCUAAAUAUUUUCGGAUGAAACCUUGUGCGAUAGAACGAGAAAUAGCUGCAAUUGAACCAACACCGAAACACGAUGCAGUUCCAAUUAGUGCAAUUUCCGCCCACGGGUUUUGAGAAAAUUAUAACACUGAAACAACAUACGUAUCCCAAAUCCACAAAAACCUAAUAAAAACAAUGACAGUUUAUACCGGAGCUCAAACCAAUUGCUGGAGCUGCCGUGCCGGUAUUCUUUCUGGUUAGACUAAACUUGUUUCAUCAGCUCAGCAUGGUUCUCCAGCAUUGCACUCAUCACGUUCGAGAUUUCCAUCUCUUGCAUAUGAAACUGUCUUAACAUUUCUAUAUGAAGGUUCCUCGUAUCCUCAUCUACGGACUUGCAAAAAGAAUGGUGAGUUUCUUGCAGAGAACAUCGAAGAAUCUGAAAUGCAAAGGAAUUUCCCUGCUGUGCAUCUUGUUGAUGCACAUUUUGGAGAUGCCAAGUUCCUCCGUCCAUUGCUGGAAGAUCCCCUCACACCUAAUCGUUAAAGGAGUAUUUUUGAUAUCGGCAGUCAACAGCGCAAAAUGUAAAUGUUGAUAUCCAUUCAUAUUCAUAAAGCAUAUGGACAGGUUCACUAAAACCGUUGAUUAGUUUAACACGUAUGGAUGACUAAACAAUUUUAAAAUUGAAUGAUUUUGUCUAGAUAUGAUAUUCUGAUAAUGAUAUUCAAAUGAUGAUAAAGAGAAUGACCAUUUUCGAUUAUAAUGUUCUGACGAUAAAAUUUCGUUAAUCGUAAACGAGGAACAAGUAAAUUUCCCAUAAGAGGACAUAAGCAUUAUCCUUGUUUAUUUUUCCUAAUAAAGCCCUUUUGAUACAUGUAACUACAAAGGAACAUAACCGACCAAAUCGGUCACUAUCAAAUUGGUUUAACUGGUUCGUACUAACUAAUUUGAGGUGUAAACGGAACCAAACCGGUUGACAACUACACCUACUCACCCAUACAAAAAAAAACCCAAGAAAGUUGGGGCCAAAUUGCAAAAUUAGAACUAGUGUUGAGACGCCCAUAAGUUGGGGCCUAAUUGCAAAUUAGAACUAGUAUAGAGGCAUCUAUGUGAAAUUGAUACAAUAUAUGUCCUUGCUAAAUUACAACAAAUUACGUAAUGAAACGAUAUUAUAAGAAACGGUACUUAAAUUCUCCUCAAAAUCGUACUCCGAAUAAAUUAUAAAUGCAUUAGUAUUGUCUAAUAUCUGACUAUCUAAAUUUUGACAAAAGCUAAGGACUUUUGUUAUACACUUUCUAUCAUAAUCCAAUAUCACCAAAGGCAAAAGGCAAAUUGUUUUUCGAAAAUACUGGUAUCAUACUUAAAAAAAAAUUUAUAAUUCUUAAAAACAACUUGGAUGAACUUCUUUCAAGAGCAAUUUUUUUUUACAACCCAAAAACUUGUUUGUUCAAAACCAUUAGGUGGCAGUGGUUGAGGGAGGAUAUUAAGGUCGGGUUGGGAUCCGAGAAGCGACCAGGAAAAUACUCACCAAGACCCAAUAUCUUGACGGUUUGAUUUGGAACUCUCAAUUUCACACUUCAUACUAUGAAGUCAUGUUGUCUUCAGAUGGGUUUUGUUCACAUAUAUGGUGGUAGGUUGCUAAUAUCAAAUGUUGCCAUUGAAAUUGAGCAAAUUGAGUUUGAAGUAAAGCCUUGGUAAUGGCGGAGAGGUGAGGUUGGGGCUUGCGGGUGGUUAGAGUGAGGGGAUGGUGGGUUAGGGAUGGUGGGAAGAAAAUACCUCAGUCACCGGAAAGAUCCAUGCCAUGGUCGCCGGAGCAUCUCUCAGUUGCCGUAAACAUAUCUCUCAUCACCGCCAGUUACUCUCAGUUGGUGUUUGUGUUGGGACUACCUAAGAAUUAACAAUUAACCCUAAAUCACAAUGUGAUAUAUAUAAUAGGAAGAUGUACCUGUUGAAGCCAUCGUGGUUGUCAAAAGAACUUUUCUACUCACUCAAGCCCUUUAUGCUCUUAUGGUGAUAGAACCUUAGACUUAGAACCCAUACUUUGUGAGUAGGGAAUCCCUUUUAUUUAUUGAUGACUGGUAGCCAACUUCCAUCUAUCAUAGGUGCGUUGGUUAUCGUCCCAUAUCAUCACAACCUGGAAGUUAUUGAGUAGUGGAAGAACGGUUUGUAUUCAAAGCAUUUUGGAUGUGUUUCCAUGAUUAUAGGACGCUAGUAUUCCACGUAUACAACUCAUUGAUGAAUUUAAAUUUAUUUUUAUCAACAUAUAUCUUAGUCCUUAUCACAACAAGUUGAGUCCAUAUAGGAUUCUUAUAGUUUGGUGUUUGGUGUCGCUGGCCUCGAUGCCAAGGUCCUGUAGAUGUUGUGAAGAAGAAAAAAAAAACAGUAAAAAUAGACUUUUGUUAUUCUCAUAUUUUAGGCUAGUUUUUGAGUUCAAGUUCUGCAAAACAAGCUUACCAAGCAAAUUUUUGAGUUGUGAAUUGAGAAACAGUUUUUGAGUUAAAAACCUUGAACUCAAAUAGAAUACCAAACAAGGUCUAAAUUACUUCUCCUCUCUUAUCCAAAAAAAAAGUGAACCCUCGAGGAAGUUGUUUUUCAUGUGCUCCAAAACCCCUCAACGAGGAGUUCAUGAGCAAAAGCAAAAGCAAAAGCCAUCAACUUUUCUUGAAAAGCAGCUGCUCAACCAAAUAGUCUUCUGCUGUAGUAACUCAAGCCACUGUACUGGUACCUUGCCUCGGAAGGCUUGCGAAAAUACCCUUUUGCCCCUCUGCUUUUGCAUAUUCCAUCCAACACUGUGACCCUGCUCUGUUUUCUUUGUCUGAUCAAUAAUUGAGCUCGCUAUCUAAAUAUGGUCGCACUUGAAGCUUUAGUCACAGUUCAGAGAGUUUAGACCAACAGAAAAUCCAACGGUUUUGAUUGAGCAGAAAGAGAGAGCAGUGACCGUCGAUUACUACAAGCUUCUUCAAGUUCAACGAAACGCCAGAGACGUGAGGAAAGUGGCCGAGGCCAAGCUCAAUCUAAUCAACGAUGCCUACAAGGUAUGUGAUCAUUCGGAUUUCAGUUUCCUUUUUCCUAGUAAGCGAUAUUCUAGACCACUCUAAUUUGUUGGCGGCAUAGAUGGUCUUUGUUGAUACUAUUUUUUUAUAAUAACACUUAUGCUCAUAAACGCUUUCCAACGUAAAGAUGGUCUCGUUUGAAACUGUUUAUGUAGAAAACAGUUUUAUAUACAAGUGCUUUUAUUAGAAGUGAUUUUAGUAAAGCCCUUGUUAAUAAAUUUCAAGCACUUGGAAGUGGUGCUUCUUCAUGAAUCAAAAGCGCUUUCAGUUGUAGUAUGCAGAAUGGGCAGGAAUUGCUGCAAAUUACGAUUUUAGUUUAUUUUAACUGAAAUUUGUUGCUAAUUAUGGGUAAAUGGGCAGGUUUUGAGUGAUCCCAAAAAACGAGUGGUGUACGAUCAGCAGGGCAAUGAGGGUUUGAGGAGAGGGGCAACGCAGCCUUCUCAUUCACCCAGGUCUGGCCGCAUGAACGGCAAGUGCCCUGACCCAUUCACACAAUUUUUCGGGGCAUGGACUGACAUGGCUCAGGUUACGUCUCGGGUUAUGGAGUCCGUGGAACCAGAAGAGAUAUUCUCGAUGUUUUUAGUUGGAGAGACGAUAGGGGAAAAUGGAUUCCAAUGGUUUGAAUGCACGGACUCAGGACCUGGAAAUGGGUCGAGGAAAGCCGUGACGAUUAAGAGGACAUUACCUUGUACUUUGGAGGAACUGUAUAAGGGCGCCACCAAGAAGCUAAAGAUUUCUAGGGAUGUUCUUGGUGUUAAUGGGUAAGUCCAUUCUUCCUUUUUUUCAUGAAUCUAUAUUUUUUGUUUAAUUUUGUGCUCUGGGAAGUAAUUUUUUGGUG
rnacentral:lncRNA from 1 species